AAGGCAUGUAGUGAAUUCCUAGGCACCAUAUAGCGAAGAAGGGCGCUAAAAUGCGAAAAUUUUCGAUGAGUAACAACGUAGAUUCGAAAGUACCCGAAUGGGAUAACCCGUUGCAUAAGCAACAUAUAUAUUUGAAUAUAUAGAAUAUAUAAGCAUACCCAUAGAACUGAAACAUCUUAGUAUAUGGAGGAAAAGAAAUCAAUAGAGAUUCCGUAAGUAGUGGCGAACGAAAGCGGAUUAGGCUAUUCUCCCUUGGGAGAAUACAUAAAUUUUUAAAAUAGCAGAAUUGUAUGGAAAGACAAACAGUAUAAAGUGAUAGUCUUGUAUGCGAAAUUAAGAAAAUUUAUGAAAUAAAGUAGAUGCUUUAAGAUAGCAUUGAAGAACUUAAUGAAAAUUAAGGAGGGUGGUCCAUCAUCCAAGCCUAAAUACAAUAUGGUGACCGAUAGUGAAAAGUACCGCGAGGGAAAGGUGAAAUAAUGUUCGAGUAGAACAGUGAAAUUACAAUGAAACUAUAAUGCUGACAAAAGGGGAUGGCACGCAAUGUUGUGUUUUCCCGUACCUUUUGCAUAAUGAGUCAACGACUUAACAUACUAGGCUGGCUUAAGCUCUUAAUGGAGCGUAGGCAUAGUGAAAGCGAGCUUUAAAUGAGCGAAUUGUCUAUUGUGUUAUACCCGAAAACAAGCGAUCUAAUCAUGUCCAGGCUGAAGAUUUUUAAAUAGAAAAUUGGAGGGCCGAACCAGUGUUUGUUGCAAGAAACUUGGAUGAGGUGUGAUUAGGGGUGAAAGGCCAAUCAAGCUUGUAUUUAGCUGGUUCUCCCUGAAAACUAUUUAAGUAGUGUGUGUUGUAUACCCUAGAGGGGUAAAUCACUUGUUCAAUCCGGCUGAAAGGUUAGGUGAGAGUUAAAAUAAGAAUACUCUAGGUUUAGCAGCAUAAACGGACGGUGGGCGAAAAUGUCAAUCGUCGAGAGGUAAACAAACCAGAUCUUAAGCUAAGGUCCCUAAAUAUUACUAAGUCAAAAGAAUGUUGUAAUUCAAAGACAGUCAGAAUGUUGGCUUGGAAGCAGCCAUCAUCUAAGGAAAGCGUAACAGCUCACUGAUAUAUGUUUUACAGCUUCAAAAAUUUAGAGGGGUUUAAGUAAUAUACCGAAGCUAAGGGGUUAUACUAAGAGAUAUAGUAUAAUCGGUAAGGGAGCGUUCUGUAGGUCUGUGAAGAUGUAUCUGUGAGGAGCAUUGGAGAUAUCAGAAGUGAGGAUGUUGAUAUGAGUAACUAUAAAAUGAGUGAGAAUCUCAUUCGCCGAAAGUCUAAGGUUUCCUUUCAUAGGAUUAUCCGGGAAGGGUUAGUCAGUACCUAAGGAGAGAACGAAAGUUGUAUUCGAUGGACGAGCAGGUUAAUAUUCCUGCACUUUUUAAUAGCGACACAGAGAAAAUUGGUGUAUGAAUUAUGACUAUUUCAUGCUACGAUAAAUCUGUCUAGAAAUAACUAUUAUAUUAAAGCUGUACUAAAACCGACACAGGUAGACUGGUGAAAAACACUAAGGCGUUAAGAGAAUGAUAUUUAAGGAAUUCGGCAAAAUACCCUCGUAACUUAGGGAUAAGAGGGGGUGUAUUGUAGGCAACUAUAAGUACACUGUCACUAAAAAGAAUACAGCGACUGUUUACCAAAAACACAGGCAUCUGCAAAAUUGAGAAAUGAAGUAUUGGUGCUGAGGCCUGCCCAGUGUCCUAAGGUCAAAAGGAGAUGUUUAAAAAGCAUUGAAUAUAAGCCAGGAUAAACGGCGGCGAUAACUAUAAUCGUCCAAAGGUAGCGAAGUUCCUUGUCGAGUAAUUUUCGACGUGCAUGAAAGGUUUAACGACUGUAUUGCUGUCUUAAAUAUCUACUUAGUGAAAUUUUAGUCCCUGUACUAAUACAGGGAACACACGGUUAGACGGAAAGUCCCUAUGACUUUUACUGCAACUUUGUAUUGAUUUAACAUUUAUAGUACGUAGAAUAGAGGGGAGUCUAUGAAGCAUGAUCUUCGGGUUGUGUGGAGACGACAAUGAAAUACCUUCUACUAUAUAAUGUUGAAUCUAACUUAAUAACCAUGAAUCUGGUAUAAGGACAGUGCAUGGGUGGUAGUUUUGCUGGGGCAGCAUUCUCCUAAAGAGUAAUGGAGAAGCACAAAGGUAAGUUCAGUAUGUAUAGAAAGCAUACGAUGAGUGUAAUAAUAUAAACUUGCCUGACUGAGAGACUGACAAGUCGAACAGGCGCGAAAGCGGGUUAUAAUGAUCCUGUAGUACCUCAUGGUAGGGCUACAGCUCAACGGAUAAAAAGUACCAUAGGGAUAACAGAUUAAUCCCUCCUGAGAGACCUUAUCGACGGAGGGGUUUGAUACAUCGAUGUCGGCUCCUAACAUCCUGGGGGUGUAGCAAUUCCCAAGGGUUUGUUUGUUCACCAAUUAAAGUUGGACGUGAGCUGGGUUCAGUGCGU
rnacentral:rRNA from 1 species